rnacentral:rRNA from 1 species
GGACGACGCUGGCGGCGUGCCUAACACAUGCAAGUCGAGCGAUGAAGUUCUUCGGAACGGAUUAGCGGCGGACGGGUGAGUAACACGUGGGUAACCUGCCUUGUAGAGGGGGAUAGCCUUCCGAAAGGAAGAUUAAUACCGCAUAACAUCUUUUUAUCGCAUGGUAGAAAGAUCAAAGGAGUAAUCCGCUACAAGAUGGACCCGCGGCGCAUUAGCUAGUUGGUGAGGUAACGGCUCACCAAGGCGACGAUGCGUAGCCGACCUGAGAGGGUGAUCGGCCACAUUGGAACUGAGACACGGUCCAGACCCCUACGGGAGGCAGCAGUGGGGAAUAUUGCGCAAUGGGGGGAAAAACCCCUGACGCAGCAACGCCGCGUGAAUGAAGAAGGCCUUAGGGUUGUAAAGUUCUGUUUACGGGGACGAUAAUGACGGUACCCGUGGAGGAAGCCACGGCUAACUACGUGCCAGCCGCAGC